rnacentral:rRNA from 1 species
GCUAGACUCCUACGGGAGGCAGCAGUGGGGAAUAUUGCACAAUGGGGGGAAACCCUGAUGCAGCGACGCCGCGUGAAGGAAGAAGUAUUUUGGUAUGUAAACUUCUAUCAGCAGGGAAGAAAAUGACGGUACCUGACUAAGAAGCCCCGGCUAACUACGUGCCAGCAGCCGCGGUAAUACGUAGGGGGCAAGCGUUAUCCGGAUUUACUGGGUGUAAAGGGAGCGUAGGCGGUUCAGCAAGUCAGAAGUGAAAGCCCGGGGCUCAACUCCGGGACUGCUUUUGAAACUGUUGAACUAGAUUGCAGGAGAGGUAAGUGGAAUUCCUAGUGUAGCGGUGAAAUGCGUAGAUAUUAGGAGGAACACCAGUGGCGAAGGCGGCUUACUGGACUGUAAAUGACGCUGAGGCUCGAAAGCGUGGGGAGCAAACAGGAUUAGAUACCCUAGUA